UGCCAGCCGCCGCGGUAACACGGGGGGAGCAAGCGUUGUUCGGAUUCAUUGGGCGUAAAGAGCUCGUAGGUGGCUCCGUAAGUCAGGUGUGAAAGACCACGGCUCAACCGUGGGAACGCACUUGAAACUACGGCGCUUGAGGUCGGGAGAGGAAAGCGGAAUUCCUGGAGUAGCGGUGAAAUGCGUAGAUAUCAGGAGGAACACCAGUGGCGAAGGCGGCUUUCUGGACCGAUUCUGACACUGAGGAGCGAAAGCAUGGGUAGCAAACAGGAUUAGAUA
rnacentral:rRNA from 1 species